rnacentral:rRNA from 1 species
AGUGAACGCUGGCGGUAGGCCUAACACAUGCAAGUCGAACGGCAGCACAGUAAGAGCUUGCUCUUACGGGUGGCGAGUGGCGGACGGGUGAGGAAUACAUCGGAAUCUACUUUUUCGCGGGGGAUAACGUAGGGAAACUUACGCUAAUACCGCAUACGACCUACGGGUGAAAGCAGGGGAUCUUCGGACCUUGCGCGAUUGAAUGAGCCGAUGUCGGAUUAGCUAGUUGGCGGGGUAAAGGCCCACCAAGGCGACGAUCCGUAGCUGGUCUGAGAGGAUGAGCAGCCACACUGGAACUGAGACACGGUCCAGACUCCGACGGGAGGCAGCAGUGGGGAAUAUUGGACAAUGGGCGCAAGCCUGAUCCAGCCAUACCGCGUGGGUGAAGAAGGCCUUCGGGUUGUAAAGCCCUUUUGUUGGGAAAGAAAAGCAGCAGGUUAAUACCCCGCUGUUCUGACGGUACCCAAAGAAUAAGCACCGGCUAACUUCGUG